UACGGGGGGGGCAAGCGUUGUUCGGAAUUACUGGGCGUAAAGGGCUUGUAGGUGGCCAACUAAGUCAGACGUGAAAUCCCUCGGCUUAACCGGGAACUGCGUCUGAUACUGGAUGGCUAGAGUGUGGGAGAGGGAUGCGGAAUUCCAGGUGUAGCGGUGAAAUGCGUAGAUAUCUGGAGGAACACCGGUGGCGAAGGCGGCAUCCUGGACCACGACUGACACUGAGGCGCGAAGGCGUGGGGAGCGAACGGG
rnacentral:rRNA from 1 species